rnacentral:rRNA from 1 species
AGAGUUUGAUCCUGGCUCAGAACGAACGUUGGCGGCGUGGAUUAGGCAUGCAAGUCGAGCGGGAUUCUAAUUUUUCAAUUCUUCGGAAGAGAAGUUUUAGAUGAGAGCGGCGAACGGGUUAGUAAUAAAUGGGUAAUUUGCCCCUAAGUUCGGAAUAGCCAUCGGAAACGAUGAUUAAUGCCGGAUGUGUUCGGGAACUGCAUAGUUCCUUAUAUAAAGGCGGGGAAUCUUCGGAUCCUGUCGCUUAGGGAUGAGCCCAUUUCCUAUCAGCUAGUUGGUGAGGUAACGGCUCACCAAGGCUUACGGGUAGUUGGUCUGAGAGGAUGAUCAGCAACACUGGGACUGAGACACUGCCCAGACUCCUACGGGAGGCUGCAGUCGAGAAUCAUUGUCAAUGCACGAAAGUGUGAACAUGCGACGCCGCGUGGAGGAAGACGGCCUUUGGGUUGUAAACUCCUGUCAGCAGGGAGUAAGGGUGGUACACUUAACACGUGUGCCAUUUGAUAGUACCUGCAGAGGAAGUCACGGCUAACUCUGUGCCAGCAGCCGCGGUAAUACAGAGGUGGCGAACGUUGUUCGGAUUUACUGGGCGUAAAGGGUCCGCAGGCGGUUCGGUAUGUCAGAUGUGAAAGCCCGCAGCUUAACUGUGGAAUUGCAUUUGAAACUGCCGAACUAGAGUACUGGAGGGGAGAAGGGAACACUUGGUGUAGCGGUGAAAUGCGUAGAUAUCAAGUGGAACACCGGUGGCGAAGGCGCUUCUCUGGACAGAUACUGACGCUCAUGGACGAAAGUUAGGGUAGCGAAAGGGAUUAGAUACCCCUGUAGUCCUAACCGUAAACGGUGUGCGCUAGGCGUGGGUGGCUUUACCCCCAUCCGUGCCUGAGCUAACGCAUUAAGCGCACCGCCUGGGGAGUACGGUCGCAAGAUUAAAACUCAAAGGAAUUGACGGGGACCCGCACAAGCGGUGGAGCAUGUGGCUUAAUUCGAUGCAACGCGAAGAACCUUACCUGGGCUUGACAUAUAGCUGCAUCCGACCCGAAAGGGACGGAGCCUUCGAGGGUGCUAUACAGGUGCUGCAUGGCUGUCGUCAGCUCGUGUCGUGAGAUGUUGGGUUAAGUCCCGCAACGAGCGCAACCCUUACCCAUAGUUGCCAGCGGUUCGGCCGGGAACUCUAUGGGGACUGCCGGUGACAAACCGGAGGAAGGUGGGGAUGACGUCAAGUCAUCAUGGCCCUUAUGGGCAGGGCUACACACGUGCUACAAUGGCCGGUACAGAGAGCGGCGAAGGGGUGACCUGGAGCUAAUCUCCUAAAGCCGGUCGUAGUCCGGAUUGGAGUCUGCAACUCGACUCCAUGAAGUCGGAAUCGCUAGUAAUCGCGAAUCAGCAUUGUCGCGGUGAAUACGUUCCCGGGCCUUGUACACACCGCCCGUCACACCAUGGGAGUUGGCUGCACCAGAAGCCGGUAGCUUAACCUUCGGGGGGGCGCCGACCACGGUGUGGUCAAUGACUGGGGUGAAGUCGUAACAAGGUA